rnacentral:rRNA from 1 species
AGUGAACGCUGGCGGUAGGCCUAACACAUGCAAGUCGAACGGCAGCACAGAGGAGCUUGCUCCUUGGGUGGCGAGUGGCGGACGGGUGAGGAAUACAUCGGAAUCUACUCUGUCGUGGGGGAUAACGGAGGGAAACUUACGCUAAUACCGCAUACGACCUACGGGUGAAAGCAGGGGAUCUUCGGACCUUGCGCGACUGUAUGAGCCGACGUCGGAUUAGCUAUUUGGCGGGGUAAAGGCCCACCAAGGCGACGACCCGUAGCUGGUCUGAGAGGAUGAUCAGCCCCACUGGAACUGAGACACGAUCCAGACUCCUACUGGAGGCAGCAGUGGGGAAUAUUGGACAAUGGGCGCAAGCCUGAUCCAGCCAUACCGCGUGGGUGAAGAAGGCCUUCGGGUUGUAAAGCCCUUUUGUUGGGAAAGAAAUCCAUCUGGUUAAUACCCGGGUGGGAUGACGGUACCCAAAGAAUAAGCACCGGCUAACUUCGUGCCAGCCGCCGCGGUAA